GUGUUGUAUGAAAGGAGAGGUUAGCAUUUCCCUUGACAAGGAUGGAAGAGGCCCUGGGGCCUGACAACACACAUACGGUUAAGGCCCUGCUACCUACCUUGUGGCAUCUAAUCACUAUUUUUU